rnacentral:rRNA from 1 species
UACAGAGGUCCCAAGCGUUGUUCGGAUUCACUGGGCGUAAAGGGUGCGUAGGCGGUCGGGUAAGUCUGAUGUGAAAUCUCACAGCUUAACUGUGAAACUGCAUUGGAUACUAUCCGGCUUGAGGAAUGGAGGGGAGACUGGAAUACUUGGUGUAGCAGUGAAAUGCGUAGAUAUCAAGUGGAACACCAGUGGCGAAGGCGAGUCUCUGGACAUUUCCUGACGCUGAGGCACGAGAGCCAGGGGAGCAAACGGG